rnacentral:rRNA from 1 species
GGUUAAGCGACUAAGCGUACACGGUGGAUGCCCUGGCAGUCAGAGGCGAUGAAGGACGUGCUAAUCUGCGAUAAGCGUCGGUAAGGUGAUAUGAACCGUUAUAACCGGCGAUUUCCGAAUGGGGAAACCCAGUGUGUUUCGACACACUAUCAUUAACUGAAUCCAUAGGUUAAUGAGGCGAACCGGGGGAACUGAAACAUCUAAGUACCCCGAGGAAAAGAAAUCAACCGAGAUUCCCCCAGUAGCGGCGAGCGAACGGGGAGCAGCCCAGAGCCUGAAUCAGUGUGUGUGUUAGUGGAAGCGUCUGGAAAGGCGCGCGAUACAGGGUGACAGCCCCGUACACAAAAAUGCACAUGCUGUGAGCUCGAUGAGUAGGGCGGGACACGUGGUAUCCUGUCUGAAUAUGGGGGGACCAUCCUCCAAGGCUAAAUACUCCUGACUGACCGAUAGUGAACCAGUACCGUGAGGGAAAGGCGAAAAGAACCCCGGCGAGGGGAGUGAAAAAGAACCUGAAACCGUGUACGUACAAGCAGUGGGAGCACAGAGCAAUCUGUGUGACUGCGUACCUUUUGUAUAAUGGGUCAGCGACUUAUAUUCUGUAGCAAGGUUAACCGAAUAGGGGAGCCGAAGGGAAACCGAGUCUUAACUGGGCGUUAAGUUGCAGGGUAUAGACCCGAAACCCGGUGAUCUAGCCAUGGGCAGGUUGAAGGUUGGGUAACACUAACUGGAGGACCGAACCGACUAAUGUUGAAAAAUUAGCGGAUGACUUGUGGCUGGGGGUGAAAGGCCAAUCAAACCGGGAGAUAGCUGGUUCUCCCCGAAAGCUAUUUAGGUAGCGCCUCGUGAAUUCAUCUCCGGGGGUAGAGCACUGUUUCGGCAAGGGGGUCAUCCCGACUUACCAACCCGAUGCAAACUGCGAAUACCGGAGAAUGUUAUCACGGGAGACACACGGCGGGUGCUAACGUCCGUCGUGAAGAGGGAAACAACCCAGACCGCCAGCUAAGGUCCCAAAGUCAUGGUUAAGUGGGAAACGAUGUGGGAAGGCCCAGACAGCCAGGAUGUUGGCUUAGAAGCAGCCAUCAUUUAAAGAAAGCGUAAUAGCUCACUGGUCGAGUCGGCCUGCGCGGAAGAUGUAACGGGGCUAAACCAUGCACCGAAGCUGCGGCAGCGACGCUGAUGCGUUGUUGGGUA